rnacentral:rRNA from 1 species
GGGUCAGUAGGUUGGUCGUGCCACCGGUACGUACUGGUCUCACUGAUUCCUCCUUCCUGAAGAACCGUAAUGCCAUUAAUUUGAUGUUGCGGGGAAACAGGACUGUUACUUUGAAAAAAUUAGAGUGUUUAAAGCAAGCUAACGCUUGAAUACAUUAGCAUGGAAUAAUGAAAUAGGACGAUCGAUCCUAUUUUGUUGGUUCCUAGGAUUGACGUA